UCCAGUGUGCCAGAAGAGCCGGAGAAAAUGGUUGGAAAAAUAAAGAGUGCAAAAAAUGCUAUGAAAAAUUCUCUAGGACCUGCGGGUAAAGAAGAUGUUUCAUACAAAGACUAGGGCAUGCCUUCAAGCGCUAAACUUUCUCCAAUCUUUGAGAUAUCAAAAUUUGAGGAGCAAGAUGGGCAGUGGAAUCCGUGACACAUUUGGGACAAUAUUAUAAUUAAUUAAGGGAACCUGGAGGGAAGUAGAAUAAGAAAGAUGACACUACUAUUGUAGUUAGAGAAUGGGCACACCCAAGAAGACGACAUCGUCGUUGCCGUCGGUCUCAAUCCCAAGUUCAUACCCAAGCUCUCCAUAAUUACUCCCAAAAUCUAUUAUACUCUGUUUCCCCGCCUCCAUAUCUAGUAUAUUGCACACAACCAUAUGUUCAACUCCCUCUUUACCCACAAUGGCG
rnacentral:lncRNA from 1 species